UGCUCUGGACUAGAAAUGGAAGUUCUUCGUCCUUCCACAGCAAUGUUGCUCUUGGGUCUCUUAACAACAUGAGGUCUUGGAGGACGAACCUAUUACGUACACAUACACAGAGACACUGCAUCAGAUACUUCAAAAGCUGAUCGUGCAACAGACAUAAAUGGCAAAAUACGCCUAACUAUCAUUAUCUUAAAGGUAUCUUACAUUCACAAUCAGUUUUAAACUUCUAUGCUUCGACAAUGUUACAAAUUCAUCAGUUUGGAUGUAAAUUCAGAGUCCCACAAUUUGCAGAAGAGCAAAAACCCACAUGUUUUGAGUUGCAAAUGAAACAUAUAUGCUCGCCCCUGACCAUUAGCUAUUAGCCAGACAAUGAAAAUUUGCUCAAUUGUCCUGUUUAGCAUGGGGUAAUUUUCUGAUAAAAAGGCUUCCUAAAUGUAAGCUUCAUCUCAAAGAGUGAGUUGACAGAAUGAGACUGGCAAAGCCUGCACUGUACAUUAUACUGGGAGUUGUUGUUUGGCUCUGACAUCACAGUCCUUUUGUCUGCUUGUUCAUAGGAAGCCAGCUCCUCAAGUGAAUAAUUCUAUAAAGGUGAGUACUGAAAAAAAUUGUACUUGGAGCAAAUAUUAUAAAUGAAAAAAUGCUAAUUUUUCUUUAAAAAUAUGGUUCCUUCUGGUAGCUGAACAGAAAACCUUCGCAGACACAUUAUCAUGACAUCCCUGAGGUUAUACUAGUGUAUCUUUUGUUGUCUGCAAUAACACUCAAAGGUUUUCUGUGGAAGGUGAUGUGAUGUUGCUGCCAGUUGAAUUUUCCAUAUCACCUUCAUCAUCUUCCGAAGUUCAGAAGUCAAGCUUAAUUUACCCACAUGAAUUCCACAAGCAAACAAGCUAAACUUCAAGGAAAGGAAUAAGCACAUGUGAUCACUAAAUGGGCAAAAUUUACAGAUGUGCCUAUCUAUACUAACGAGUAAUCCUGCUGGUGAAUGUAUUCCUCUGAGCCAAACGCAGGAAUGAACACUUGCAGGGUCAGGGUGCACAACCAACUUUCCAGUUGUUCAUUGUUUUUUUUUUUUAGUACUAUCCAACCUGGAAUGGAGUCUGACUUGCUGAAUGCUGAAUGUUAACCAGCAGGAAUCCCCAAAGCCCUCAGCAAGUGUCUUGCAUACACAUGUUAGUGCUUAAAGUGAGAAGUACAGCCCGGAGUGAGGAGCGUGCAGGAACUCCUUCGAAUGCAGGAGCAGGCAACAGACGGCGCCGCUGGCCACCGCACGUGGCAGUGCAUCCUGUGGACAAAAGCCCAUCAGCCCAACAGAGGGAGCAGGAACUGGCAGCAGGAGUUGGGUUCUUCAGACAGAAGAAGAAAGCUUACACAAAUUACUGAAUUUCUCUCGAAAAAAGAUUCCAGAUUCAAAUUUCAGCAGUUUUUAACUUCUUACUAGCAUAGUCCUUAUUCUACAUUGACACACGUUCUCAUUCUACUACCCUCAUGCUGUCCAUAGUCAUCACCGGCCUACCCUUUUUCAGACCAUAUUUCAUGCCCUUCUUGCAUCUCAUCACACUUUCCCAUUAAGUCAUAAUUCACACCAAUUGGUUUAUUUGUCCUUACUCGUGUGCCAGGAGGAGUGCCAGAUUGCACACAUUUACUCAGCUCAGAUUUUUGACGUGGGUGAGGAAAAAAUGGCACUUGUCAUGGAGAGCUGAGGCCAAAAUUUUUUCCAUGUGAUGGCUUCCAAGUAUAUUUUCCAAGAAAGUAAGCAUGAAAUCAAAGAAAAAUAGAGAGAAAUGACCUGCUGGUGAGCUGAGGUGGCUAUUGUUAGCCCUCCUGCAUAGUUUCUUUUCUGCACCUCUUAUUAUGCAAUUCAGUCACUGACACCGAGUUGUAGUGCUGAGUAUCUCCCCACUUUACCUGCUCAGGCUGAGAGCAUAGCCUUAAAAUAUAUUUAGCUUUUGUUAUGUGACAUAGCAUACUUAUUUUUCAUUAUGUUUCAGAAGCAUAACGGACCAGCUGAAAAAAUCUGAAAUUUGCACUUUUCUAGUUAUUUUAAAGACAUCCACUUAUGACAUAGCUACUUAGACAAAUAUUUCAUGAAGCAGGAAAACAACAUGCAAUUAAAUUCUCUUUUUUUUUUCUCCUAAUGCCUCCUCUAUGUAUGCUUCAGUUUGCUUUAUUUUCACUUCUAGUUAUGUAAAUAUUCUGAACAUUUCUGCAUCACAAAAUUCUCUUAGGUGGGAUUUUUAAGUAACCUCCUAAAGCUGUGGCUAGCAGUGUCUUGAGCACCAUUUAUUUUCGAUGACUUUUAAAAUUCUAGACAAAAAUGUUUUGAUUGAUGUAAGAAUUACAAGGCAUCUCUUAAUGCUGUACAAAGAAGUUGAUAUUGUUUCUUCAGUAUUAGUUCAUAUCACCGAACACGUUGGUUUGAUUUGGGAAUCAGUUUCUCCCUCCCACAGCAAAAAACAGGCUAACUUUUCAGGAAGCACUGCAAGGCUGUAGCAUCAACAGUAUUAACUGAUAAAGCAGUGACAGCAUUACUAAAGUUUGUGAAUAGAAGCGUGACAAAGGCAGGCCCUUCAGAUAGCAGGACAGCCAGACAACGCAUUAGCUGAGGAUCACCUUGUAGUGAGGUGGUCAGUACACUGAUGAUAGGCACUGCGAGGACGGGUACAGCUGAACUUUGCUUACCCACACACACACGCGCACGGGAGGAAAAAUACAUCUGAGAAAGCUUGUGACAGGGUUCCUUAAUUAUCUACUUCAAAAUUGUUAGAUAAUAAAGCAAGUAUUUGGGAAGAGCAGAACGUGAUGCUUUUUGUUAAAAGACCUACCAGUAUUAGUACCUUUUUAAGUCUUGUAUGUCUUGUAUUAUGUAUUAAUUUUUGAAACGUUGAAGAGAUAAGAGAAGAAAAAUAAAACAAAUUUCCACAUUAACAGCAGUGUGUUCUCUCAAUUACAGAGGGACAGGGAGACAGUACAGCUUAAACAGUCAGUGACUUGAAGCACUGAAAUGAGCAUAGGCAAAGGGCAGUGAGGAGCAGCUGAGAUGGAGGUCCACCAAGAGGUAACAGUUAUUUGUCCUUUGCCAGAGCUCCAUUGUUAAUGCUGAUGUAAAUAUGUGUCACCAAAAUGGGACAAGCAAGUAUAUUUGAAUUAUAUGAAGACCAUAUUUACUGGAAAAUCCACUGAUUAGAAGUUAAUUUGUUAAUGCAGCAAAACACUCUGUUUCUGAAAGGUCAGUAGGGGAAGCUGUGUUGGAAUAUCAACUUAAUUACCUGUGCUGUAAGGAUGAAACAGCCCAGAGCUACACUGCUAAAAGCUGCUAAAUUGCUAUCCUAGGUAUGUCCCUAAAUAUGUAUACUAUAGUGGUUUUUUUCUUCAAAGAGAAGCAAUGUCUAAAUUAGCACUUUCUUAUCAGUAGCUGUUUACCAGCAUACUUUUUUACUCCAGAUAUUUUCUUAAUUGUUUUACUCUAAAUACUUCUGAAGCAACAAGACAGAGAAAAUUUGCAGGAAGCCAAUUUUAUGACUGUAGAUAUGGCACUGUUUUCUAAUUACAAGACAAGCAAUUUUAAGCUGUGAGAUGCUGGAGGAAGAAAAAAAAUCUUACAUUCACUUUUAGACUGUAAAAAUACUAUUUAAAAAUGAUACAUACCACAGAUCAUGAAUUACCUAUUAUAUAUCCCAGAAACUUUCACAGUACAGCAAUUUAGUUUUUUAGAAAACAUUACAAAAAGAUCAUUUUCGUACUGUGAAGUACGAGUUCGUGAGCAGAAUAUUAUCUCAAACUAAUGGAUGUCAGUUGAGAUUUUUUUAAGGUGGUAUUCAAAACAGAGCCUUUAUCAGUAAAUUAGAGGUGCUAUUUCAUAUGCAGCAACAAGUGCAACUAGAAAUAAAUGCAUAAAGGAAACCCAACUAGAUGAAAACUGGUUUGUCAGUUCAUACAGAAAGAAGUUUUUUUCAUUCUCAAGCUGGUAGUGAGGGGUGUUUCUAAUGAUUUCCAAAGCAAAGCCUUUCUAUUCAGACAUCUUAUUUUCUUCACAAAUUCAGGGCUGGUUUACAAACUGUUCGUACGUUUUAAAGACAAUGAGACAUGGGAUAAAGAUGCGCUAUCCUGAAUGUACCCAAGCCCAAAUACAUCAUGCUGCAAAGGAUUUGGAUCACUGACUUUGGAACAAUAUGCUGAACCUCAACACUCAAUGGAGAAAAAAAAGAGGGGGAGAGAAUAACAACACUGAAAAAUGUAUGGUACCUAAAAAGAUUCCGUAUAGAAAGCAGAUGGAAUCUAUGAGGCAGCUGUUUUAUUACCCAUUCAGGUCCCUGCACAGCACAUACACGACUUUUUACAUACUCCCAUAUGCACAGCUCACAAACUGGUGUGACAAGAACAGUGUAUACCUUACAGCAUAUAUUUUUAAUUUACACUCUAAAAUACUUCAACAGAAAUCUGCUGGGUCCUGUGAUAAAAAAAAAAAACUCCAUGUUUUAAGAGAUGUCUCAUUCUUUGAACUGUAUUUGUAGAUUGGGAAGGUAGCAUGAAUCUGGCAAAAACGUGGUAAUGCCUAUAGCUGUGCCAAGAAUUUAUGAAAGGGAAGAGAAUCUCACAGUUAAACCCUUUGAUUAGUCUAAUGAGAAAACAAGGACAAUCCCCUUGCCUUUCUAGCCAGGAAUCUUCCAUUACGUAACAUAGAAGCAUACAUUCAAAGAAGGAAGUAAAAGGAGCCUAUAAGCUCCUGGUUUCCCUAAUGGAUAACAAAGAGGCAUCUAAGUCACACCCAGUGUCCUGGGACACAGGCAAAGAUUCAUCCCAAGGUCACUGAGAAGAGACUCACACUUUACAGAAGGGAAAGAAGGGGUUUUCUGAAAACUUUCUGCUUCCUCUCUCAGAUGAGACCAAUUCUGUCCUUCCUAAUCAAAGGUUAAAAAAAAAAGUACAUCUAGACACAGAGCACUGAUAAAUCAUUCUCAUUUGGCAAUGCUGAUUAUAUAUACGUCACACUGUGCAAACAAUCCCAGAAUAUCUAACUUUCAAGAAUAUUAAAUAUAAUGUACAUCAUACACAGUUUGCUUUAAGUCUAGGAUUUGUAGGGUACCUGCCAGAUGUUGACAGGAAGGAUAUAAAGCAGUAGCAGUUAACUUGUAAUGGUAUCUGUGUCUUAAAGACUUGUCAAGACUUCCCAGCUCCAGUGACAGAGGAGUUCAUGUACAGCACAAAGAAGGAAUACAAAACCCAUGAAAGAUGAUAGCAAUGGAGUUUCAGAUUGUGACCACUGCAUUCUCCUCUUUCACUUAUCUGUUGUGCAGAUGAAAAUAAACCUUGCAUUCAGUUCUUCUAAAAUACUGUAAAAAUCCUAACUGUAUUAAACUGAUGAUUUUUCAGCACUUUGCAGUUUGAAAAUCCCUGAAAUUUUCCAAAGGAGGUAACUGUCAACAGCCUCUUAUUUAACUGGCACAGAUCCUAAGAAUCUGCAGAACACAGCUUGAAAACCACUGUAAAUUAAGCUACACGCAGUGAGCAUCUCUUCCCAUAGAAACACAUGCACAGAACACAAAAUAUUUUAACCAAAUCUAGAGUGGCUGAGGUGACUACGAAUCACUGCAGACAGUAAUAUAAUGUAAGUCAGGAGCAGGCUGGCAUUAAUACAGUUCCUAAUCACUCUCCUCUGUUUCUGUAGUGCUUUGCAAUGACUCUUCCUCUCUGAGCCUUCCUUACUGCGGUUUGCUUCAGCUCUUUGUCUAAAGGGGUAAUUUGCAACAAUUCACUAGCUUAAAUGCACAUGUCAUGCUUUUGUUAUUGAGAAAAUAUCGGAACAAAACCAAAGGCAUUUCUGCUUACCGACUGGACUAAAAUUUCUUUGAGAUACUCACACCCUACACAGACCACCACUGCCCAUUUCAUUUGCUCGCCCUGUCCUUAGGGCAACCUCUAGUGACUUGGCACCUUUUUUUUUUUUCUCGUAUUUCUUCUUUGCACCUAAUCUUUUGCACCAGAUUUUCUUCUCUCCCUGCAAUAAUGGCAGAAUCCCGCAUUGGCAGUCUCAGUGCCUCAAAUCCCAGAUGGAUAACUUGGUCAGCAUACAGGUAUGUGCAUGGUAAUGAGACAAAUUAACACCCAGAAAAUAGCAUACCCCAUGGACUCCACAUCACACAAUACACCUUAGCCUGAAAGCAGCUUAACUUUCAUUUGUGCACAAAUCCCGAGCACUGGCUAUAUUACUCCAUGAUGAGAGGACCAUGAAAGCAAACUCUGAAGACAUGCUGAACAGCACCGUACCCAUUCUGGAUUACCAGUAAAACAGCAAGGCGGUUUUUCAGAACUAUUCACAGAGAUGAAAUAGGGACGGGUUUUGAGAGAGCAUCUCAUUGAGCAGACUUUCAAAUUUCCAAAGUACUUCUUCCAAAAUUAAGUGUGAUUUGCAGUGGCUUCUUUUCAUUCUAUUUCUCAACAUACAUAGAUGGAGGCACAUGUUGCAAUAAAAAAGCCCAGACCCUAGGAAUAUAUUUAUCCCUACGUAUUAAAGUCUAUCCAUCUACUAUCUCAGCAGAGUUUAAAAUCACAGCUAAUAGGUUAACAACUGUUUUUCUUCCGCUUCAAAUGAAGAAUAUCAGAAAGCUGGGGGAAUAUUCGGCUUCCCAAUUUGUACUGACUGCUCGCUGCUACCUGCAAUGUCUGUUUGACAGGACUGACAUUUUGUACUGCUGUGAGAUGGGAAAACGUGUGACAUUUUUAUUCAUGGUGGCGUACGCCCUUGUAAUGAUCAGCCCUGGUCGAUGUGCUUACUGCAGCAGCCCCGAGCCCUCGGAGAACAAACAAGAAGUGGAGGUGCCAGCAGUUCGGCUGCCUUAUUAAACUCCACCAGGAUUCUAACGAAGAGCAACCGCUGGAAAAUCUCACUGUCAAAUCCUCAAGGACACUGUCAACAUGGAACUAACUACAUAUAUUUUUCAUUUAAAAUACUGGAAAAUACAGCAAUAUGAUUUUAAAUACAAAGAAAAAAAGUCACACUUUCCA